CGAGGAGAUUGGCACAGAAACGCAGCGCCACGACCACUCCAGCAGCAUACUACGUCUGUUUGGUACGGACUGCUGAAACUUGUGCGCAGAGAGGCGGAUAGAUUCUCUCGUCCCAGAUAGAGGAUUAAAUUCACGCUUUCUUUUCUUUUUUCCCCCUUUUUCUACUCCUCCUCCUCCUCCUCCUCCUCCUCUGGUUUCGUGUUACAAAGCCUUGGGAGGGAGUUGCGCGGAGAGCCAGUUCCUCCGUGUUACAAACUGAAUGACAGGAUCAUAUGGCUGGAUUUGCCUUAUAGUCCAACCAUUAAAAACAGAAAAGGUAGAGGAAAUAAAAAAGGAGAGAAGAGGGAAGCCGCGGGCGAAUUCAUCUGAAAUUGAUGAGGGUGUGGAAUAAUUUAUAAGUCAAAUUCAAAAAACAAAAUCCGAGAUAACGGAGAAAGAAGAGAGGGAGGGGGAAAAGGAUACUAGAUCUGUCGUCAGAGAAAGACUGGGAGACGGAGAGGAAAGCGCAGGACGCGUUGCCUGUAAUCACCACCACCAUCCCCGUAAUAAUAAGCCCAAUGUGACCUUCAUCUGAGUCAAGUGUCUUCAUUCAGCAUUCACUGCGACGAGAGUGGCGGAGAAAAAACUGAAUUGGAUAUUAAGAAGAAAGCUCACAGACACGCGAGGGAGGAGAAGAAAAAAAAGCUGCCAGGAGCCGGGCUGCUCUAUCCAGUCCCUCCGAUCAACAGAUUGAUUCCUCGAUCCAUCACGCCAACGCCAGUUCCGACGAAUGGGAGCUGACAUGGGAGCCCUGGGCGGGACCAAGGUCUUGCUCCUGGUGUUUCUGGUUGGAUUGGAGAAGUCGCUGGGUCUCAACUGGAACCCCAUCCCACGCAAGACUGUUCGGUACCGAGAGUUUUGGACAGCAUGCACGGGGAGCGUUCGGGGGGUUUUUAACUACACAUUGCUCUGUCGAAACCCCGAGGGGUUUUUUUACGUCG